UCGCACCUCAGCCUGGUUUCACAUCAUUUAAGAGCUCCAUCGUGAAUUCCUCAUCCCAACAAAGCAUCCCAGCCCGGUUCUCCUCUUCCCGAAAAGGACUCCAAUACAGCCCAACCGAAGCAAUUGAAGACAUUCCAGCCUGCAGCCGGUUCUCCCCGAUUCAGCCAACGAAGGAUAUUCGAAAUGAUGCUGUGAAGAGUCCCCAUUUCCCAUCGGAAUUUCCCUUGCAGUUCCAGCCGAAGAAGAUGAAGAGGAAGUUCAGCCUUUUUCCUCCUUUCCCGAAGCAAGAACCCAGCCGGUUCUUCUCCCAGGUUCUUCCCUUCCCGCAGAAGCUCCCAAACCGAAGAAAACCCACCCGGUUCCAAG
rnacentral:lncRNA from 1 species